rnacentral:misc_RNA from 1 species
GAUGAAGAACGCAGCGAAAUGCGAUAAGUAAUGUGAAUUGCAGAGUUCAGUGAAUCAUCGAAUCUUUGAACGCACAUUGCGCCCGCCAGUAUUCUGGCGGGCAUGCCUGUUCGAGCGUCAUUUCAACCAUCAAGCCCCCGGCUUGUGUUGGGGACCUGCGGCUGCCGCAGGCCCUGAAAACCAGUGGCGGGCUCGCUAGUCACUCCGAGCGUAGUAAUACAUCUCGCUCAGGGCGUGCUGCGGGUUCCGGCCGUUAAAAAGCCUUAUUUACCCAAGGUUGACCUCGGAUCAGGUAGGAAGACCCGCUGAACUUAAGCAUAUCAAUAAGCGGAGGA